rnacentral:rRNA from 1 species
UAGGGAAUCUUCCGCAAUGGACGCAAGUCUGACGGAGCAACGCCGCGUGAGUGAAGAAGGAUUUCGGUUCGUAAAACUCUGUUGUUAGAGAAGAACAGCGCAUAGAGUAACUGUUAUGCGUGUGACGGUAUCUAACCAGAAAGCCACGGCUAACUACGUGCCAGCAGCCGCGGUAAUACGUAGGUGGCAAGCGUUGUCCGGAUUUAUUGGGCGUAAAGCGAGCGCAGGCGGUCAAUUAAGUCUGAUGUGAAAGCCCCCGGCUCAACCGGGGAGGGUCAUUGGACACUGGUUGACUUGAGUGCAGAAGAGGAGGGAGGAAUUCCAUGUGUAGCGGUGAAAUGCGUAGAUAUAUGGAGGAACACCAGUGGCGAAGGCGACUCUCUGGUCUGUAUCUGACGCGGAGGUUCGAAAGCGUGGGUAGCAAACAGG